UGGGGAAUCUUGGACAAUGGGCGAAAGCCUGAUCCAGCAAUGCCGCGUGUGCGAUGAAGGCUUUCGGGUUGUAAAGCACUUUUGUCAGGGAAGAAAUGGUUCGGGCCAAUACCUCGGACUUCUGACGGUACCUGAAGAAUAAGCACCGGCUAACUACGUGCCAGCAGCCGCGGUAAUACGUAGGGUGCAAGCGUUAAUCGGAAUUACUGGGCGUAAAGCGUGCGCAGGCGGUUUACUAAGACAGGUGUGAAAUCCCCGGGCUCAACCUGGGAACUGCAUCUGUGACUAGUAGACUAGAGUUUGGCAGAGGGGGGUGGAAUUCCUGGUGUAGCAGUGAAAUGCGUAGAUAUCAGGAGGAACACCGAUGGCGAAGGCAGCCCCCUGGGCCACCACUGACGCUCAUGCACGAAAGCGUGGGGAGCAAACAGG
rnacentral:rRNA from 1 species